AAUAUUGCACAAUGGGGGAAACCCUGAUGCUGCGACGCCGCGUGAGCGAAGAAGUCCUUCGCGUCGUAAAGCUCUGUCCUAAGGGAAGAAACGGACGGUACCUUAGGUGGAAGUCCCGGCUACCUACUUGCCAGCAGCCGCGGUAAUACGUAGGGGGCGAGCGUUAUCCGGAAUUACUGGGCGUAAAGGGUGCGUAGGCGGCCUUUUAAGUCAGAGGUGAAAGGCUAAGGCUUAACCGUAGUUAGCAUUUGAAACUAGAAGGCUUGAGUGCAGGAGAGGAGAGUGGAAUUCCUAGUGUAGCGGUGAAAUGCGUAGAUAUUAGGAGGAACACCAGUGGCGAAGGCGACUCUCUGGACUGCAACUGACGCUGAGGCACGAAAGCGUGGGGAGCGAAC
rnacentral:rRNA from 1 species